rnacentral:tRNA from 1 species
AUUUAUGUAGUUUAAAACAAAACAUUACAUUUUCACUGUAAAGAUAAAGACUUCCCUUUCAUAAUUA